UGCCCAGCAACUCCUAUCCCUACCUCCUCGUGGUACUGGCCGGGGUACGAGUAACCUUGGGGAAGAUCGGGUAACCAACCCCCGGUGGGAACAUUGGUCGUAUGCUGACAGGAAAGG
rfam:Aedes aegypti strain Liverpool supercont1.75 genomic scaffold, whole genome shotgun sequence.